UUAAUUGAAACCAAAUUAGAGGUACAUCACUGUUAAUGAUGAAAAUGAGAAUAUCUCCAAUUAAA
rnacentral:tRNA from 1 species